UACAGAGGUCCCAAGCGUUGUUCGGAUUUACUGGGCGUAAAGGGUGCGUAGGUGGCCAUUCAAGUCUGAUGUGAAAUCUCGAAGCCUAACUUCGAAACUGCAUUGGAAACUGCAUGGCUAGAGGAGUGUAGGGGAGACUAGAAUUCUCGGUGUAGCAGUGAAAUGCGUGGAUAUCGAGAGGAACACCAGUGGCGAAGGCGAGUCUCUAGGCAAUUCCUGACACUGAGGCACGAAAGCCAAGGGAGCAAACGGG
rnacentral:rRNA from 1 species